GUGGAUGGCGUGUCUUUGAAGUAUUCAACUCUACCAAACGAAGGUGUUGUACAGAUAUUGACCAAAAAUAGCGGGAACAAGACUGUUUGUUGGCAAAGUUUAACGAACGAGGCCGCGAAUAUUUUUUGUCGUCAAUUGGGUUACACGAGAAUGGCGUCUAAUGUUAGUAAAGUCCCUCCAUCAAACCAAGAUGCAAUAUUUUCUGGAAGUAUAGAGUGCAAUGGUGGAAAGCAAAACUUAUCUCAAUAUUCCUUUACUGUUUCUAACGAAAGUUGUUCUGAGAUUUCUUACAUAAAAUGUAAGUUUUACACAAAAGAAUACACGAACGGAAUAAAGCAGAGAAGAUAAACAACGUAUUAACAUUUAUUUCUUAUAUUUUAGGUUUUAUUUGCGACAGAUCGACCUUUGUUAGAAGAUAAACAAAGAUUUCCAGAUUCGUCAAUCACUGCCUCAGCUUCUUCAAAAAGUCAAAGUCCUUUUGAUGCAAGAAUAUCUAGUGGCAGUUCUUGGUGUGCUCCUCUCUCAGAUGGCAAACAUUAUCUUCAAGUGGACUUUGGAAGACGUUAUGUGAUAUAUAAUCUCGCAACAUUUGGUGACACUACUAGCCCAAAAUGGGUGACCACAUAGAAUUUGAAUUACACUGUUGAUGAGAUAAACAGGAAAUCAGUUUGGGUAAUUGCUAUUUACAUUAUUUUCAGGCUGAUAUACAUUUUAUAAUAUAUUUUGUGAUGCGACGAAAACGGUGUAACUUAAAAAAUAGUCAUAUUUCUUCACUGCACGCAUUUAUUAAACCCGUUAUUUUACUGUUGUCUUUAGAUCUCGGGAAACAAAAAUGCUUACAAUGAUGCAGGUAUUCGAUAUUUCCCUGGAGGGAUAACAACA